UGCGUAGGGGGCGAGCGUUGUCCGGAUUUACUGGGCGUAAAGCGCACGCAGGCGGUCUGUCGCGUCCGUUGUGAAAGCUCCCGGCUCAACUGGGAGAGGUCUUCGGAUACGGGCAGACUCGAGGGAGGCAGAGGAAGGUGGAAUCCCCGGUGUAGUGGUGAAAUGCGUAGAGAUCGGGGGGAACACCAGUGGCGAAGGCGGCCUUCUGGGCCUUUCCUGACGCUGAGGUGCGAAAGCGUGGGGAGCGAACCGG
rnacentral:rRNA from 1 species